UCUUUAGUUAUAAAUAGCAUUACUUCAAAAUCUAUCACCCACAAACAAAAGUCUUAAAAAAAACAGAAUGCAUAUAUUACAAAUUAUGAAUUUCACAAAGAUUUUAACAUGGACAUUUCUUAUUAUGAUUUUUGUAGCAAAUAGUAAUGCUGUUAGUGGAAAGAAACUUUGUGCAUUAAAAUGUGCAAUCAAAUGUUUCCACAAUCCUGUCUGCAUAGCAAUGUGCUUGAAGGAUUGCUAUCCUCUUAUAUCUUCUAAAGCAUUCAAUUGUACGCUUGCUUGUUCAAUGGAACGCUGCUCCAAAUUUAAAGAAGAUGAUGAGCUAAUGGGCGGCUGCUGGGAUGAAUGCUCAAAAAAAUACUGUAUCUAAUUAGAAAGGCUUGAACUAUUAUGCUAUUUGUUUAGUAAAAGCAAACUAGAAAAGAAUCUUGAUGAAUCAAAUGUGAUCAAGAUUUAUGUUGUUAAUGAAGUACAAUAGUAACUUUGAAUUCUCCAUCUCUAA